rnacentral:rRNA from 1 species
UGAGGAAUAUUGGUCAAUGGGCGGGAGCCUGAACCAGCCAAGCCGCGUGAAGGAAGAAGGCGCUAAGCGUCGUAAACAUCUUUUGUCGGGGAACAAAGGUCCGGACGUGUCCGGAUGAGAGUGUACCCGAAGAAAAAGCAUCGGCUAACUCCGUGCCAGCAGCCGCGGUAAUACGGAGGAUGCGAGCGUUAUCCGGAUUUAUUGGGUUUAAAGGGUGCGUAGGCGGUCUGUUAAGUCAGCGGUAAAAGCCCGGGGCUCAACCCGGCGAGCCGUUGAACUGGCGGACUAGAGAGGGCGAGAAGUCACGCGGAAUGCGCAGUGUAGCGGUGAAAUGCAUAGAUAUUGCGCAGAACUCCGAUUGCGAAGGCAGCGUACCGGCGCCUUUCUGACGCUGAGGCACGAAAGCGUGGGUAUCGAACAGGAUUAGAUACC